AACGAACGCUGGCGGCAGGCUUAACACAUGCAAGUCGAGCGCCCCGCAAGGGGAGCGGCAGACGGGUGAGUAACGCGUGGGAAUCUACCCAUCUCUACGGAAUAACGCAUGGAAACGUGUGCUAAUACCGUAUACGUCCUUCGGGAGAAAGAUUUAUCGGAGAUGGAUGAGCCCGCGUCGGAUUAGCUAGUUGGUGGGGUAAAGGCCUACCAAGGCGACGAUCCAUAGCUGGUCUGAGAGGAUGAUCAGCCACACUGGGACUGAGACACGGCCCAGACUCCUACGGCAGGCAGCAGUGGGGAAUAUUGGACAAUGGGCGCAAGCCUGAUCCAGCCAUGCCGCGUGAGUGAUGAAGGCCCUAGGGUUGUAAAGCUCUUUCACCGGUGAAGAUAAUGACGGUAACCGGAGAAGAAGCCCCGGCUAACUACGUGCCAGCCGCCGCCGUAACAC
rnacentral:rRNA from 1 species